AUUGAACGCUGGCGGCAGGCCUAACACAUGCAAGUCGAGCGGAUGAUGGGAGCUUGCUCUCUGAUUUAGCGGCGGACGGGCGAGUAAUGCCUAGGAAUCUGCCUGGUAGUGGGGGAUAACGUUCCGAAAGGAACGCUAAUACCGCAUACGUCCUACGGGAGAAAGCGGGGGAUCUUCGGACCUCGCGCUAUCAGAUGAGCCUAGGUCGGAUUAGCUAGUUGGUGAGGUAAAGGCUCACCAAGGCGACGAUCCGUAACUGGUCUGAGAGGAUGAUCAGUCACACUGGAACUGAGACACGGUCCAGACUCCUACGGGAGGCAGCAGUGGGGAAUAUUGGACAAUGGGCGAAAGCCUGAUCCAGCCAUGCCGCGUGUGUGAAGAAGGUCUUCGGAUUGUAAAGCACUUUAAGUUGGGAGGAAGGGUUGUAGAUUAAUACUCUGCAAUUUUGACGUUACCGACAGAAUAAGCACCGGCUAACUUCGUGCCAGCCGCCGCAGUAACAC
rnacentral:rRNA from 1 species